rnacentral:rRNA from 1 species
GGCGAUACUGGGCAGACUUGAGUACUGCAGGGGAGACUGGAAUUCCUGGUGUAGCGGUGAAAUGCGCAGAUAUCAGGAGGAACACCGGUGGCGAAGGCGGGUCUCUGGGCAGUAACUGACGCUGAGGAACGAAAGCGUGGGUAGCGAACAGGAUUAGAUACCCUGGUAGUCCACGCCGUAAACGGUGGGCGCUAGGUGUGGGUUCCUUCCACGGAAUCCGUGCCGUAGCUAACGCAUUAAGCGCCCCGCCUGGGGAGUACGGCCGCAAGGCUAAAACUCAAAUAAAUUGACGGGA